CAAAGGAUGCAAGGUGUUGUAAACCGACUGUCCAAGUUACUGAAACCUGGGGGAAUGCUGUUAUUUCGAGACUAUGGAAGAUAUGAUAAGACUCAGCUUCGUUUUAAAAAGGGUAAUAGUAUAUUCAGUUUGAGGUUAUUUUUAAAUGUUCUAAAGAAUGCCUUGUUUAUAUUUCACAUCAAAGUAUUUAGUUGUUUUUUUUUAAAGGAAUACCCUUAAGAGUUUCUCUUUUCACAAUUUUUUUCAGGACAUUGUUUAUCUGAAAAUUUUUAUGUUCGAGGAGAUGGUACCAGAGCAUAUUUCUUUACAAAAGGGGAAGUCCACAGUAUGUUCUGCAAAGCCAGUUUAGAUGAAAAGCAAAAUCUGGUUGAUCGCCGCUUACAAGUUAAUAGGAAAAAACAAGUGAAAAUGCACCGAGUGUGGAUUCAAGGCAAAUUCCAGAAACCAUUGCACCAGACUCAGAAUAGCUCCAAUAUGGUAUCUACACUCCUUUCACAAGACUGAACUUUGUAACAUGUUAAGGUACAAAGCCAGAGGACUGUGCUAUUCAAGGACUACUGUAAGUCUAUUGUUUC
rnacentral:lncRNA from 1 species